AUAUUUUAUGAACUUGUACGAGAAUGGGAAGAUUGCAACUCAGCAACAGGGUGGAACAUGGAAGAUCAUAUGGGAGACAGAAUAAGAGCGCUGGUCAAUCAAAAGCCUGAGUUGGCAAAUUAUUCUCAUUUUGCAAGACUUUUCAAGUCUCAGUUACUGCAGAUGUGUGAAGAAGAAAGGAACGGAAGCAGCUUUCGUAACUCAAGUACACUGACAAAUCUGCAAAAGUCAAACCCAGAGAAGUUUC